rnacentral:rRNA from 1 species
CGUGAGGGAAAGGCGAAAAGAACCCCGGCGAGGGGAGUGAAAAAGAACCUGAAACCGUGUACGUACAAGCAGUGGGAGCACAGGUUUACCUGUGUGACUGCGUACCUUUUGUAUAAUGGGUCAGCGACUUAUAUUCUGUAGCAAGGUUAACCGUAUAGGGGAGCCGUAGGGAAACCGAGUCUUAACCGGGCGUUAAGUUGCAGGGUAUAGACCCGAAACCCGGUGAUCUAGCCAUGGGCAGGUUGAAGGUUGGGUAACACUAACUGGAGGACCGAACCGACUAAUGUUGAAAAAUUAGCGGAUGACCUGUGGCUGGGGGUGAAAGGCCAAUCAAACCGGGAGAUAGCUGGUUCUCCCCGAAAGCUAUUUAGGUAGCGCCUCGUGAAUUCAUCUCCGGGGGUAGAGCACUGUUUCGGCUAGGGGGCCAUCCCGGCUUACCAACCCGAUGCAAACUGCGAAUACCGGAGAAUGUUAUCACGGGAGACACACGGCGGGUGCUAACGUCCGUCGUGAAGAGGGAAACAACCCAGACCGCCAGCUAAGGUCCCAAAGUCAUGGUUAAGUGGGAAACGAUGUGGGAAGGCCCAGACAGCCAGGAUGUUGGCUUAGAAGCAGCCAUCAUUUAAAGAAAGCGUAAUAGCUCACUGGUCGAGUCGGCCUGCGCGGAAGAUGUAACGGGGCUAAACCAUGCACCGAAGCUGCGGCAGCGACGCUUAUGCGUUGUUGGGUAGGGGAGCGUUCUGUAAGCCUGUGAAGGUGUGUCGUGAGGCAUGCUGGAGGUAUCAGAAGUGCGAAUGCUGACAUAAGUAACGAUAAAGCGGGUGAAAAGCCCGCUCGCCGGAAGACCAAGGGUUCCUGUCCAACGUUAAUCGGGGCAGGGUGAGUCGACCCCUAAGGCGAGGCCGAAAGGCGUAGUCGA